ensembl:snoRNA SNORD28 Small nucleolar RNA SNORD28
GUCAGAUGAUUAGAAUACAUAAUGCUGAUCCUCUGUGAGGUAUGACAUAAUAUAGCAUAUUAGAUUUCUGAUACCC